GGUUUGUGGCUCAAGUGGUAGAGUGCUUGCCUAGCACCCAUGAGACACUGGGUUCAAUCUUCAGCACCA
rnacentral:tRNA from 1 species